rnacentral:rRNA from 1 species
CAGUCGCCGCGGGAAUACGGAGGGUGCAAGCGUUAAUCGGAAUUACUGGGCGUAAAGCGUGCGUAGGCGGUUCGUUAAGUCUGUUGUGAAAGCCCCGGGCUCAACCUGGGAAUGGCGAUGGAUACUGGCGAGCUAGAGUGUGUCAGAGGAUGGUGGAAUUCCCGGUGUAGCGGUGAAAUGCGUAGAGGUCGGGAGGAACAUCAGUGGCGAAGGCGGCCAUCUGGGACAACACUGACGCUGAGGCACGAGAGCGUGGGGAGCAAACAGGAUUAGAUACCCCUGUAGUCCCUGUCUCUUAUAC